rnacentral:rRNA from 1 species
AGUGAACGCUGGCGGUAGGCCUAACACAUGCAAGUCGAACGGCAGCACAGUAAGAGCUUGCUCUUACGGUUGGCGAGUGGCGGACGGGUGAUGAAUACAUCGGAAUCUACUUUUUCGUGGGGGAUAACGUAGGGACACUUACGCUAAUACCUCAUACGACCUACGGGUGAAAGCAGGGGAUCUUCGGACCUUUCGCGAUUGAAUGAGCCGAUGUCGGAUUAGCUAGUUGGCGGGGUAAAGGCCCACCAAGGCGACGAUCCGUAGCUGGUCUGAGAGGAUGAUCAGCCACACUGGAACUGAGACACGGUCCAGACUCCUACGGGAGGCAGCAGUGGGGAAUAUUGGACAAUGGGCGCAAGCCUGAUCCAGCCAUACCGCGUGGGUGAAGAAGGCCUUCGGGUUGUAAAGCCCUUUUGUUGGGAAAGAAAAGCAGCAGGUUAAUACCCCGCUGUUCUGACGGUACCCAAAGAAUAAGCACCGGCUAACUUCGUG